GUGAUUUGGCCUCUGUGCCUAAAACACAAUCCCAUACCUCUGUGAACUGUCAGCCCUCGGGCUCAAACAUUGUGUAACGAACGUCCAUAACAUAAUCUAAUA
rnacentral:misc_RNA from 1 species